AUCUCCACUAUAUGAGGGAGAAAUACUUGAGAAUUCAGUGUUGCCACAUUUAGACCACAUUGCGAAAGAUCGGGAUAUUUUUGUGCAGAUCCGAGCUGUCCAGUUUCUUGUCGAUGUUAUUGAAUCCUCUGAUUCACCGAAAGUUUGCGAUGUUUUGCAUAUAAUCGAGAAGAUUGCCACUGUCCAGUAGAUCCUCUCAAGUGAUACGUUAAGCCGUCGUGUAAAGAACAUGUAAGAUUAGUGGAUAUAAAUAACAUUGGAGAGAACGAAAGGUUCCAGUGACGU